GAUGGCGGAUUUCCAAUCCGAGGUCCCAGCACCUUUUUAUGCUAGAAAAUUCCAGGUUGUUUAGAUCUCUCUCACCUUUCAAUGCUCUUCCUUCCAGCCUAGGGUUAAAGCAUGGCGAGCAGGAGGCGAGACGUUUUGGCCUCGUGGGCGAUGGAACCAAGCUGCCGGUAAGGGCUAUCGCUGCGUUUUGGAAGCUGGAUCGCUGGAUCCCGCGACUCUGUGUAUUGGCGACGAUGUGCUGCUCGCGGAUGCAACUGGAACCGAUGCAACUGGAACCUCCAUCUUCGACGUGGAAUCCAUCCGGCAGAUGGCAGUCAGGAGUGGCCUGGGCGAUGGCAGCUCCAAAGACGCAGCCAUGCCCAUCAAUGGGACGAUCAUCAUCGCUGAAGAAGAAGAAGAAAUACAAAUACCAAAUUAGGCAGAGAUGAGCCGCAAGCGUUACCUGGUGCUCGAGGCCGAGGCGAGCAAGUUCAUCGGCUGGUUCUAUCGCGUGGGUCGCCAGGACGACGAGGAGCUCGACGCCACAAACAGGUGUGGAAUGGUGACGCUGGUGAGGCCGGAUGGAACUUGCGUCACGAGCUACGCUUGCAUGAAAAAGAAGGCGGAGGAGGAAUCCGAUGGCAAGCGCUACGUUGUGUGCGUGGACGACUGCGUAGCAGAGGUGGCGGGCGGAGUGGGAGUUUUAACUCCCGCGCAGGGAUGCUCCCAGAGCUUCUCGGCCUGCGCGGUGGUGGCGCCGAUGCCAGGGCCGUGGGGGCCAGGAUCGAGUGUGGAGCGCCAGUGAUGACUCCCAGGGGUAGCUUGACGGGCGUGGUGGUGGGAUUUGGGAAGCUCAGGAAUGACAAGAGGAGGUCCAAGAAACUAAAGCCGCCAUACAAUUUUCCCAUCACCAAGGGAGACUUUGGGCCCUUCUUGGAAGGAGUGCCGGAAUCCAUCGCCAAAGGCAGAUUGCAUGGCCGGGGUGGAGGUGAAUUGCUUGGUGUACUACAAUACCGUCGAAGGCAAGAUUAGCUUCCCAGCUAUUGAAUGGAGGGUAUGUUCCUACUAUUAUGAUCCUUGACAGUCAACUUACACACUUAGGUGCAGGACAAGAACUACUUCAAAGCAGAUGGUACAAUUGUUCGGUUAAGCUGCCUGGAACACCGUGAUCGAAUCCUUCGCCCUCGCGGGAUUGGUAGACGCGCUCGAUAGGGAUCAAGCCCGAUGGAUCCACGCUUUAGGACUCAAUUCUUCCUGGGGAUUCGGCCUCGAUCCGGGGAAAGAACACUAUAGCUACCUUGUAUUCCAUGGCGGCUGGAUUGGAGGGAGCGGCGGAGAAUGUGGUGCCCCGGAGUGGAGCGCCAUACGUGAUCUUGUCGAGCGCCAUCGCUGUGGAAUCCUUGAGACAAUAGGAUAUACUGUAUAGGAUAAAACAAUUGUCAUUAUUC